rnacentral:rRNA from 1 species
CCUACGGGUGGCAGCAGUCGAGAAUCAUUCACAAUGGGGGAAACCCUGAUGGUGCGACACCGCGUGGGGGAAUGAAGUUCUUCGGAUUGUAAACCCCUGUCAUGUGGGAGCAAAUUAAAAAGAUAGUACCACAAUAGGAAGAGACGGCUAACUCUGUGCCAGCAGCCGCGGUAAUACAGAGGUCUCAAGCGUUGUUCGGAUUCACUGGGCGUAAAGCGUGCGUAGGCUGUUUCGUAAGUCGGGUGUGAAAGGCGCGGGCUCAACCCGCGGAUGGCACAUGAUACUGCGAGACUAGAGUAAUGGAGGGGGAACCGGAAUGCUCGGUGUAGCAGUGAAAUGCGUAGAUAUCGAGAGGAACACUCGUGGCGAAGGCGGGUUCCUGGACAUUAACUGACGCUGAAGCACGAAAGCGUGGGUAUCGAACAGGAUUAGAUACCCUUGUAGUC